CCCUUAGAUGUUCUGGGCCGCACGCGCGCUACACUGAUGCAUUCAACGAGUCUAAAACCUGGUCUGAUAGGGCUGGGUAAUCUUUUGAAACAUCGUCGUGCUGGGGAUAGAUCAUUGCAAUUUUUGAUCUUGAACGAGGAAUUCCUAGUAAGCGCGAGUCAUCAGCUCGCGUUGAUUACGUCCCUGCCCUUUGUACACACCGCCCGUCGCUACUACCGAUUGAAUGGUUUAGUGAGGACUCCUGAUUGGCGCCGCCGCCCCGGCAACGGAGCAGCGGACUGCCGAAAAGUUGUUCAAACUUGAUCAUUUAGAGGAAGUAAAAGUCGUAACA
rnacentral:rRNA from 1 species